rnacentral:rRNA from 1 species
UUAAGCGACUAAGCGUACACGGUGGAUGCCCUGGCAGUCAGAGGCGAUGAAGGACGUGCUAAUCUGCGAAAAGCGUCGGUAAGGUGAUAUGAACCGUUAUAGCCGGCGAUGUCCGAAUGGGGAAACCCAGUGCAAUUCGUUGCACUAUCGUUAACUGAAUACAUAGGUUAACGAGGCGAACCGGGGGAACUGAAACAUCUAAGUACCCCGAGGAAAAGAAAUCAACCGAGAUUCCCCCAGUAGCGGCGAGCGAACGGGGAGCAGCCCAGAGUCUGAAUCAGCUUGUGUGUUAGUGGAACGGUCUGGAAAGUCCGACGGUACAGGGUGAUAGUCCCGUACACCAAAAUGCACAGGUUGUGAACUCGAAGAGUAGGGCGGGACACGUGGUAUCCUGUCUGAAUAUGGGGGGACCAUCCUCCAAGGCUAAAUACUCCUGACUGACCGAUAGUGAACCAGUACCGUGAGGGAAAGGCGAAAAGAACCCCGGCGAGGGGAGUGAAAAAGAACCUGAAACCGUGUACGUACAAGCAGUGGGAGCACCUUCGGGUGUGACUGCGUACCUUUUGUAUAAUGGGUCAGCGACUUAUAUUCUGUAGCAAGGUUAACCGUAUAGGGGAGCCGCAGGGAAACCGAGUCUUAACUGGGCGUUAAGUUGCAGGGUAUAGACCCGAAACCCGGUGAUCUAGCCAUGGGCAGGUUGAAGGUUGGGUAACACUAACUGGAGGACCGAACCGACUAAUGUUGAAAAAUUAGCGGAUGACUUGUGGCUGGGGGUGAAAGGCCAAUCAAACCGGGAGAUAGCUGGUUCUCCCCGAAAGCUAUUUAGGUAGCGCCUCGUGAACUCAUCUUCGGGGGUAGAGCACUGUUUCGGCUAGGGGGUCAUCCCGACUUACCAACCCGAUGCAAACUACGAAUACCGAAGAAUGUUAUCACGGGAGACACACGGCGGGUGCUAACGUCCGUCGUGAAGAGGGAAACAACCCAGACCGCCAGCUAAGGUCCCAAAGUCAUGGUUAAGUGGGAAACGAUGUGGGAAGGCACAGACAGCCAGGAUGUUGGCUUAGAAGCAGCCAUCAUUUAAAGAAAGCGUAAUAGCUCACUGGUCGAGUCGGCCUGCGCGGAAGAUGUAACGGGGCUAAACCAUGCACCGAAGCUGCGGCAGCGACACUAUGUGUUGUUGGGUAGGGGAGCGUUCUGUAAGCCUGCGAAGGUGUGCUGUGAGGCAUGCUGGAGGUAUCAGAAGUGCGAAUGCUGACAUAAGUAACGAUAAAGCGGGUGAAAAGCCCGCUCGCCGGAAGACCAAGGGUUCCUGUCCAACGUUAAUCGGGGCAGGGUGAGUCGACCCCUAAGGCGAGGCCGAAAGGCGUAGUCGAUGGGAAACAGGUUAAUAUUCCUGUACUUGGUGUUACUGCGAAGGGGGGACGGAGAAGGCUAUGUUAGCCGGGCGACGGUUGUCCCGGUUUAAGCAUGUAGGCUGAUUGUCCAGGCAAAUCCGGAUAAUCAAGGCUGAGGUGUGAUGACGAGGCACUACGGUGCUGAAGUAACAAAUGCCCUGCUUCCAGGAAAAGCCUCUAAGCAUCAGGUAACAUUAAAUCGUACCCCAAACCGACACAGGUGGUCAGGUAGAGAAUACCAAGGCGCUUGAGAGAACUCGGGUGAAGGAACUAGGCAAAAUGGUGCCGUAACUUCGGGAGAAGGCACGCUGGUGUGUAGGUGAAGUCCCUGCGGAUGGAGCUGAGACCAGUCGAAGAUACCAGCUGGCUGCAACUGUUUAUUAAAAACACAGCACUGUGCAAACACGAAAGUGGACGUAUACGGUGUGACGCCUGCCCGGUGCCGGAAGGUUAAUUGAUGGGGUUAUCCGUAAGGAGAAGCUCUUGAUCGAAGCCCCGGUAAACGGCGGCCGUAACUAUAACGGUCCUAAGGUAGCGAAAUUCCUUGUCGGGUAAGUUCCGACCUGCACGAAUGGCGUAAUGAUGGCCAGGCUGUCUCCACCCGAGACUCAGUGAAAUUGAACUCGCUGUGAAGAUGCAGUGUACCCGCGGCAAGACGGAAAGACCCCGUGAACCUUUACUAUAGCUUGACACUGAACAUUGAGCCUUGAUGUGUAGGAUAGGUGGGAGGCUUUGAAGCGUGGACGCCAGUCUGCGUGGAGCCAACCUUGAAAUACCACCCUUUAAUGUUUGAUGUUCUAACGUUGGCCCCUUACCGGGGUUGCGGACAGUGUCUGGUGGGUAGUUUGACUGGGGCGGUCUCCUCCCAAAGCGUAACGGAGGAGCACGAAGGUUAGCUAAUCCUGGUCGGACAUCAGGAGGUUAGUGCAAUGGCAUAAGCUAGCUUGACUGCGAGCGUGACGGCGCGAGCAGGUGCGAAAGCAGGUCAUAGUGAUCCGGUGGUUCUGAAUGGAAGGGCCAUCGCUCAACGGAUAAAAGGUACUCCGGGGAUAACAGGCUGAUACCGCCCAAGAGUUCAUAUCGACGGCGGUGUUUGGCACCUCGAUGUCGGCUCAUCACAUCCUGGGGCUGAAGUAGGUCCCAAGGGUAUGGCUGUUCGCCAUUUAAAGUGGUACGCGAGCUGGGUUUAGAACGUCGUGAGACAGUUCGGUCCCUAUCUGCCGUGGGCGCUGGAGAAUUGAGGGGGGCUGCUCCUAGUACGAGAGGACCGGAGUGGACGCAUCACUGGUGUUCGGGUUGUCAUGCCAAUGGCACUGCCCGGUAGCUAAAUGCGGAAGAGAUAAGUGCUGAAAGCAUCUAAGCACGAAACUUGCCCCGAGAUGAGUUCUCCCUGAGACUUUAAGUCUCCUGAAGGAACGUUGAAGACGACGACGUUGAUAGGCCGGGUGUGUAAGCGCAGCGAUGCGUUGAGCUAACCGGUACUAAUGAACCGUGAGGCUUAACCUU